rnacentral:rRNA from 1 species
AACGCGAAGAACCUUACCCAGUCUUGACAUGCAUAGGACGUAUCCAGAGAUGGAUAUUCCCUUCGGGGCCUAUGCACAGGUGCUGCAUGGCUGUCGUCAGCUCGUGCCGUGAGGUGUUUGGUUAAGUCCAGCAACGAGCGCAACCCUUAUCACUAGUUGCCAACAUUUAAGGUGGGAACUCUAGUGAGACUGCCUGGGUUAACCAGGAGGAAGGCGAGGAUGAUGUCAAGUCCGCAUGGCCCUUAUGUCUGGGGCUACACACGUGCUACAAUGGCCGAUACAGAAGGCAGCGAAGUCGCAAGAUGGAGCAAAUCCCAAAAGUCGGCCCCAGUUCAGAUUGCAGUCUGCAACUCGACUGCAUGAAGAUGGAAUUGCUAGUAAUGGCGAGUCAGCUACAUCGCCGUGAAUACGUUCCCGGGCCUUGUACACACCGGAGUA